rnacentral:rRNA from 1 species
GAUGAACGCUGGCGGCGUGCCUAAUACAUGCAAGUCGAGCGAACGGACGCGAAGCUUGCUUUUCUGAUGUUAGCGGCGGACGGGUGAGUAACACGUGGAUAACCUACCUAUCAGACUGGGAUAACUUCGGGAAACCGGCGCUAAUACCGGAUAAUAUUUUGAACCGCAUGGUUCAAAAGUGAAAGACGGUCUUGCUGUCACUUAUAGAUGGAUCUGCGCUGCAUUAGCUAGUUGGUAAGGUCACGGCUUACCAAGGCAACGAUGCAUAGCCGACCUGAGAGGGUGAUCGGCCACACUAGAGCUGAGACACGGUCCAGAGUCCUACGGGAGGCAGCAGUAGGGAAUCGUCCGCAAUGGGCGAAAGUCUGACGGAGCAGCGCCGCGUGAGUGAUGAAGGUCUUCGGAGCGUAAAACUCGGUUAUUAGGGAAGAACAGAUGUGUAAGUAACUGUGCACAGCGUGACGGUACCUAAUCAGAAAGCCACGGCUAACUACGUG